AUCCCGGACGAAGCUACCACGUGC
rnacentral:siRNA from 1 species